UUUUUUAACGGUUUUUCAUCACUUUAAAUAAUGGUGGGGGGAAUACCACUUGUUCGAGGAAUAUUGCUGUAAUGUACAUAAUAAAUCCCCAAAACUUACUUUGUUUACUUUACUGUCAACUACGAUCCCUCAUCAAUGAAAACGCUUUUCUGCAUUUAUGAAAAAAUCUAACGUAGUUCUAGUUUGUUUAAAUACACGGAUUGAAUUGUUAUCGGUUGUUAGAGCAUAGAUAUAGGCCAAGAACUCACGCCGAAAGUUUUUAAUUAAAUUAUUUGGACUAUUCUGAGAAGACAUCAAAAUGAACAUAAUACAAGGAGUAGACAGAUACGGCCUUUGCGUCUACCUUCCUUCAAGUAUUGUUAUUGCGGCGACAAAAACUGCUGGAAAUGAUUUUUUCCAACCAACCAAAAUCGGCAGGUUUUUCUCGUCAGCCACACUAGAAAAAAGAGAUGAUUUGCCGAAUGGUUACACUGCAGCACACGUGAAAUGGCUCUUGGAAAACGGUUUUGAU